rnacentral:rRNA from 1 species
AACGAACGCUGGCGGCAGGCCUAACACAUGCAAGUCGAACGCCCCGCAAGGGGAGUGGCGCUCGGGUGAGUAACGCGUGGGAAUAUGCCCUUCGGUUCGGAAUAACACAGGGAAACUUGUGCUAAUACCGGAUACGAUCUACGGAUGAAAGAUUUAUCGCCGAGGGAGUAGCCCGCGUAGGAUUAGCUAGUUGGUGAGGUAAUGGCUCACCAAGGCGACGAUCCUUAGCUGGUCUGAGAGGAUGAUCAGCCACACUGGGACUGAGACACGGCCCAGACUCCUACGGGAGGCAGCAGUGGGGAAUAUUGGACAAUGGGCGAAAGCCUGAUCCAGCCAUGCCGCGUGAGUGAUGAAGGCCUUAGGGUUGUAAAGCUCUUUCGCCAGGGAAGAUAAUGACGGUAGUCGGAGAAGAAGCCCCGGCUAACUUCGUGCCAGCAGCCGCCGCAGUAA